GCUGAAUGUGGGGAUAAUUUAUCUCCGUGUUGUAGCUAACGCGUUAAGCACUCCGCCUGGGGACUACGGUCGCAAGACUAAAACUCAAAGGAAUUGACGGGGACCCGCACAAGCGGUGGAGCAUGUGGUUUAAUUCGAUGCAACGCGAAAAACCUUACCACUCCUUGACAUGGAGAUUAGAUCCUUCUUAACAGAAGGGCGCAGUUCGGCUGGAUCUCGCACAGGUGCUGCAUGGCUGUCGUCAGCUCGUGUCGUGAGAUGUUGGGUUAAGUCCCGCAACGAGCGUAACCCUCAUCCUUAGUUGCCAGCGGGUAAGCCGGGCACUUUAAGGAAACUGCCGGUGGUAAACCGGAGGAAGGUGGGGAUGAUGUCAAGUCAGCACGGCCCUUAUGGGGUGGGCUACACACGUGCUACAAUGGUGACUACAAUAGGUUGCAAUGUCGCAAGGCUGAGCUAAUCCGUAAAAGUCAUCUCAGUUCGGAUUGUCCUCUGCAACUCGAGGGCAUGAAGUCGGAAUCGCUAGUAAUCGUGGAUCAGCAUGCCGCGGUGAAUACGUUCUCGGGUCUUGUACACACUGCCCGUCACGCCAUGGGAAUUGGCUUAACUCGAAGCUGGUGCGCUAACCGAAAGGAAGCAGCCAU
rnacentral:rRNA from 1 species